AAACAAACCAAACCCCAGACAAACAAAAAAACCCCCACCCACCCACUCGAGAAAAUGGACACGAGAGGAUGCAAUGCACAGAAAAGCAGCCUGGUUUUCAAAGCAGGUGAGGCUUUCAGCGUUGUGCUGCCGGUAUUCGAAGGGGAAAUGGUCGUAGCGAGGACCUCGGGAGCGCUGAUCUCCUGGAAAGCCGGGAGAGGCUGCUGAGCCAGCCCGGCUGAGCAUCCCGCCCAGCGAGGAGGCUGCAAGCUGUUGCACAGCCCCUCACCAGCCAAGAGCAGGGCGAGCCAAGCGCCAGCCCGGGAGCCAAGCGGGGAUCCAGCUGCCGCUUUCGGGGCGGGGAGGGGAGGAUGGACUGGGCGACUUCCCUGGGCUUGGCACCGCAUCCCGGCAGCCUGGCCAACCGUGCCCCUGGAGUGUGUGCGGCGGGAGCAGCGCUGCUGAGGCAGACAGAUAAAGAGGUUGUACCGGGACCACUUUCCACACAGCAAUUAACGGGAAGAGACGGCACCGAGCAAAUAUUCCAACCGCGGAUCCAGGAGGUGCCAAUAUGUUUUGCCGUUCCACGAUUGUGUUCUGGAGGCGGCAGCAGGGCUGUUACACUGAAGGGUCUGUUCAGUUGGCAUUUCCACUAUAAACCUAAUUUUGGAAAGGGGUUAUGAUUCGGCCAUUUUUAAUUAACGAGGGGAUUAAAGUUGGCACACGGGCGCUCAAGGGCUGUUUGUUGCUGGUUUAAUUUAUUUUCUUCUUUUUUUUUUUAAUCCAAUCUGUUAGGCCCAUCUCAAAUAAUAUUCUUUGUUUCCACUUGCUGGGGUUGACUUUAAAGAUCUCUAUGCAUGUGUGUGGGCCUGUGUCUAUGUAUAAGAGAAAAGAGAUUUAUCAAGGUGAAGAGCCACGUCAGAGUAGGUGAGCAGGUUGCUGAAAGAUCCCACAUUCCCAAGGCCACUGUAACUCAUACCAACUAUGUGCUGAAGCAGAAGCAGUUGCAAAUUUUUUUGCUGAAUUUUGCAGAAUUUUGUCCACUUGGGACGUGCAAAAAGUUUGCUCCAGACUUAGGCAUCAUUCUUAUGCACAACAUUUUGAAGCUGUGAGAUACUAAUAUUUAUUUAUCAAAGUCUUACCAGGCAGCUUGUUGGUAAGUCACUGUUGGAAUACAUAAAAUCAUGUAAAUACAAUGACACUGUAAAUAGUUACCUAUUGUAGACUAUAUUAUUGUAAAUCCCCAAAUUUCUAGGGCCAUAAACCUCUCAAUAUCAGAAAAAUUUAUUCCAGUUCUCUACUAUCCCAACCACUAGAAAGUUUUUCCUCAUAUCUAACCUGAAUCUCCCUCUUCUUAACUUAAUCCUGUUAAUUCUUGUCCUAUGUGCCAUGGACAUGGAAAACAGGCUGUCCCUUGCCUUUUUGCAGCAUGCUUUUCAUGUGUCAGAAGGACAUUGUCCCUUGGUGGUUCUUACUUCUUUGGGCUUUCCAGCUUUCCCAACACAGCCUCUGAAAAUUUAACUAUAUUUAAAAAAAAGGUGUCUUACCUCUUUCUAACUGGUCCAGCCUUCCUGGGAGUGAUGAAGAUUUUGGGUGAAGCUUCAACAGAACCCUUGGCACUGCUCCUUUGUGCUCAGCAAUAUUGCACCUCUCAGUCCCCCUGCUCUUUCACAAGUGUUUUCUUAAGCAUCAUUCAGAGAUGACCACAACACAUGGAGUGUGUACCUGGACUCACCAGGAGGAAUGACAGCAAGUCUGGGUUUGUACAAGUGCUUCACCACCCUGUUGGCAAACACCCAGUGGGAAGGGUCUGUGGCUGGCUGUUUGAACCCUUGAGCUGGUAACUGGUGUGUCCUCUGUUGUUCACAGGGCCAGAGCUCUGAGGUGAGUACAGGGAUGAGACUGAAGUGUAACUCCCUCCGGCUCUACACUGCACUUCUGAAAAGCCUGCUGGCCAUCCGAAUCACUUGCGUGGUUGACAAGGCCUGAGCUUCACAACACAUGCAUCCUUUGAUCUCUCCAAAAGUCAUAUCCUGGCUCAACAAGCCUGCAGGUUUGUCCCAGCUUUGGCCACACUCUCUGAGCAGCUCCAGGAGUCACUGAGUUCAUUUGGUAAUCACUAUGAACUUAUCUGUGAUGCCUGUCAGUUUGUUGGCCAGCAGCUACCCCAGCUGAUGUCUGUCCAUCCUGUGGCUGCUAUCCCAUCUUUGUGAAUGGGCAAAAUGGAAAUCCUCAAUACAAAGGGUAUGGGUAACAAAGGAUGAGUUGUCCUUCUAGUUCUGGGGGGCUUUAGUUCCUCUCUCCUGGUGGUGACUGGGUGGGAGACGAAGGACAAGAGCAGGGCAUUCCCUUUCCUGUGUGUGCUGAGGGCUGGUUCUGAUUUUGGGAUUUGAGGAAGGGUAUUUUUGCAGGAAGCAUGGCAGUUUGUGUGGGCUGGGGUUGUUUGUCUCCUAUGAAUUGCUUUGCCCGGAGUGGUGAGGCUGCUGUUUGAGGGGGUGCAGCAAUCACUGUUCCCUGGUGUGAUGGGUUUGUCAUCCACGGUAGUGCUGUUCCUGGGGUGUGUAUAUUUGUCAGCUGAAAUUUUUCUGCAAUUUCCUUGACAGGAGCAGUGAGUGACACACGUUCCCUCAGGAGGUAUUUCCAUGUUUUUACUAUUCUUCAGGCUUCUGUGACAUUUCCCAAGUCCAGUUGUUGGAGCCUCAGGUUCAAUCAUCUACACUGCCCAGGACCACAUCCCAGCAGGGAUAAUUUGGCCCUUCAGCAGUGAAUACAUCGACUUCUGCAGCUCAUGGUAUGCACAGUUUGGUAUGCCCAUGGUACACGCCUUAAAACCCACACCGAAAACCUCCAUCGUUUGGUGCUCAGUGGCACCAGGUCCAGCAUAAUUUUUCAUUCCUGUGACUCCCAACAAUGGCCUGAAAAUGAAAGUUAAAAAGAAAACUAAACCUGCUUUUGCCUUCUUUCCAGGUAGAGGUGCGUACGAGACUGAAAUUUUCAAGCUUUCAGUGAAACACCAAAUGUGUGUGUACAAUUCCAGGAAUGCCGGCUCUCGGGAAAAGCACCGCUGACUGGGAGAUUCCUGGUAAAAUUGUGACAGUUGACAGCACUAAGCAGAUAACACAGGCUAUAUAAAACAAACUGCUUCUUGUGCUGGAGGGAAGUACCAGAAGGGGCUCGUGGUGUUGCAUCUUCACGCAGCUGAGAAGCAGGAAUGUCUUGUGAGCAGCACCUUGUGGCUCACAGAGCUACAAACUAAAGGACCCAAACACAGAGUCCUGUGGCAAAAGUCCCAAACAUGGAGUUUUGGGGCAAAAAGUUGUAUUCCUCUUGAAAUGGCAAAAUUCCUUGUUUACUGUUGCAAUGGCUGGGGACAAGGAAGCUCUGGUGCUGUACCCACAUCCCCUCGGACCCAGGAUGAUCUGUGAGGAUCGCGUGUGUCCCGUGCACGCAUCACUCGCACCGAGCUGGUUUGAGUUGUCGGUGACCAGGAAGAGCCAAAGGAGUCCUGGGCAACCUUCUGGAAACCAUCACAGGCCUGUCUCAGGCUGCCUGGGAAAGAGCUGCCUUUAGCCUUGCCUUCUCUUUCUUCCCUUAGCAGGUACAGAAGGUCAGGUCUUCCCUUCGUGCUUUGGUUCUUGCUAUUUCUGCAUCUGGUGAAAAUGGUGUGGCUACUCCAAAUUAACACAGAUUCAGCUAAAAUAACCUGUCUUCACAGGCAACUGCUUUUUCCCAGAGCUCCCUGAAUGUAUGGGAGCUGCAGAAAUAUGUGCUUUGUUCAGGGGCACAUUUGCAUUGAUACCUUGUUGGUGAUGUGAUAAGUGGUGUCCCAAUGGCACAGCAGUGAAAAACAUGGGAGCAUGUUGAGUUGCAGAAGCACUGGGUUGGCUUUGGAUGGAGAUGGGGCAUGAUUAUUUGAAUGCAGGAUGGACUAGAGAGGAUGAGAGUGGUUAGUGAUGGGAAGGAUGACUACAGGGAGAGAUGGGUUAGAUACUUGUAAAUGAUGAGGCUGCCAGUUGCAAAGGAAAAAGGGGCUUUUGGAUGGAAAGGCAAUUAUUUAAUCAAAGGGGAAGUGGAGGGAAGUAAAUACCAGGGGAAUGACAGACUGGUGCUCUGGAGUUGCCUCCUUCUGGCUGGUUGGACCCUGACUGCCUGUCCUGCCAGUCAGCUCUGUCUCAUAUCGACUUCCCUGCCACCUCUGCUGCUCAAUAGCUCCUGCCCUUAUUUCAGCCAAUGGAUCCUUGUCUUUAGAUUGGCUGGUUGGUUGCCUGUUCUUCAGACCACCUCCAUUAAUUCCCACCCUCCAGCUUCCUGUCACCACAUUCAUUAUUUUCAGUCCCCACCACCUCCCCUGCUGUUCUCCUGAGAUAUUUCACUGGCUCUGUUAGCCCUGAAUUGCCAAAUUCUGGCUUGGCUUUCACCAGACAACCACAUUUUAUGUUCCUACUAGCUAAUCAUACCCCAUGCUUACAUCCAUAUGGUUGAGGAUGGGUGGGCAGGCACUGAAGGCCACGCUGGGUCCCCACAGGCACAGGAGGCUGGCUGGGCCAGGGACAUGCUGGUUUGUGCUGAAACCCAUCCCAGCCAUUCAUCUUGACUCUUCAUUUUGACUCUGAUACAGCUACAAGGAAAAACCAACAUCUGGCCUCCAUCAGUUGUGAUGGCCUCUGCUCUGGAUCCCUAAGGACCAGUCUUUGUACCUGAAAGCCAAUUUGAUAUAAAAGCCUUGGGCAACUAAAUCCAUAAUUAGACUAAGCACCCCUCUUCCCUCCUCUCCCAGUCUUGCUGAACUGGGGGCCAAGCCCACCUCUCUUCCAGGACAGAGGAAAUGGGCAACUUCACAAGGAGGUGAAGUCUGCUGCAAAUAGUGGAAAGCCUCUUCUAACAGUCACUUGCAUUUUUUUCCAGCCAUGAACCACCAUCCUGGGCUCUCAGGGAGCCCAGCAACCCUGUGCCUGGGACAGAAGGCAGCUGUCUCCCUCACCAUGGCCCUGGCACCACUGUGGGGCUGAUUCCUGUGCCAGGCUUGGUGCCUAGUGUGGCUGCACACCUUCUUGGGCUCAGCCGGAGAGGAAGAUGGGAAUGUUAUUUUUGCUUUGUGUUGAGGAGUCUCUUUCACCUCUGAAUCGCCUUUUGCAUGAGAUUUUGUACUCAAAACUUCAUCAGAGGAAAAAAUCUGUUCUUCCUAGCACAUCUCCCAUACAUGCACUCUGUAGAUGACAACUCCAGCACUGCCUGACGUGGCAGAGAGUGUGGAUGGUGGAGAGCAUCCCUUCCCAGUGAUGGGGCCACCCUGGGCAACCCACAGCCACCACCAGCAGCUCGGGGUGUUGUGUUCAUAGAGGAGGAGAAGUCCUGGCAAACAACUAUUGCUUGUUGGUUGUGCAGAGCAGGUAAUUUUGCAGGUAAUCUCUUAACAGCUAGAGGAAGGGCAGGAGAAGGUGUUUUUAUCACUGAAGAGUGAUGUGCUGUUUCUCCAGAGGGUUCCCUUGUGCAGCACACAGAGGCUCAGGGUUGGCUCACCUGCUUGUGAGCCCAGAGCAGGAUGCUCAAAGAUCCCAGAAAUCCUGGCCAAAGGGCUCAAGCUGGGAUGUUUAGUUAUUUUCAGAGGGAAUUUAACAUAUUUAAAUGGAUCUUGCCAUGCACACUUCUCACAGAUAAGAGGUCUCUUCCCUGGGCAGUGAGUCCAUGGGGUGGUUGGGUAAUGCCUGGGUACUAAAGGUGUUUUUGCCCAACUGCUUUCAGGGAGCAGGAGCUCUGCUGUGCUGGCUGAAAGCUGCCUAGGAGAGAAUGUCUUUAAUUGGUGCCAGAUUAACCAUGGCCAUGGGUUGGUUGGUGUUUUUCAGGGCGUGAAUGGCAUGAUAUCAGGGCAGCCCACAGAGCCAUGCACUCAGUGAAUCUGGCUGUAUCUGCGAGGCUGAGGGAGAAACGAGUCCUCCAGCUCACAGAUUUGCAUAAUGUCUUUUAUUUCCCUAAAGAAUAUACAUUGUAUUUGCCAGGAAACUCACCUGAGCUACCUUUUGUGUGAAGUAAUGGAUGCCAAACACAUUAAAUACAAAUCAUUUGCUCAUCCCUGGAAGUGUUCAAAGUCAGGUUGGAUGAGGCUUUGAGCAACCUGGUCUAGUGGAAGGUGUUCCUGCCCACGGCAGGGGGUUGGAACUAGAUGGUCUUUAAGGUCCCUUCCAACCCAAACCAUUUUGUGAUUUUAUAAUUUAUUUUCAUUCUAAGCCUGAACCAAUUACAAUAACAAAAUCAGAAGGUGGGAUUCCACUAAAGUGGGAUUUGGGAGGCCUGGGUUAACUGCUGGCCUUUGCCAUCUCUUUCCACUCUUUGCCUGACUCAUCUCUUUCAGCUCCAGGUUCUUCAGGAUAUGGGAUAUCUCUUCCCAUCCAUCUGCAGAGUGUCUUGAGGCUCAUCCAUGUGCAGUUAAUGUUAUAAGCAGCAUUUCCACUGCACUGAAAACACUCUAAGUCCAACAGUAUUUUCAGAAAUAGGUUGAAUCUAAAAACAGAUGAUAACAUUUCCCAAUGAAUAACCUCCUUAAAUAUUUAAUUUGAACUUGGUGAAAAUAUUUUGCUUCGAACCGUUCUUAACUGAUAAAGGUCAGCCCCUUUUAAAAUUUCUAUUUUUAUUUAUUUA